rnacentral:misc_RNA from 1 species
AAGAAAUCCAUAAGGAAAAUCAUAUAAAGCAUCUAUAAUAUGCCACUUAAUGCAGCAAUUGAAUGGAGGAACGGAUGAAUAGAAGUCGGGCUAAAAAUGAAACAAAUUGCACCUAUCUGGUUUUCUAGAAUAUUCUCAUAACUGAAGCAUUCCUAUAUGAAUGUUUGCAAAUCAUGUAAAAAUAAAUUUAUAAAAAUUUUGCUAAAAUUCCCCCUUAGGUAUAAAAGCUUUU